GAUGAACGCUAGCGGGAGGCUUAACACAUGCAAGUCGAGGGGCAGCACGAUGUAGCAAUACGUUGGUGGCGACCGGCGCACGGGUGAGUAACACGUAUGCAACCUACCCUGUACAGGGGGAUAACCCGGAGAAAUUCGGACUAAUAUCCCAUAAAGAUAUUUGAGGGCAUCCUUGGAUAUUUAAAGCUCAGGCGGUACGGGAUGGGCAUGCGGAACAUUAGCUAGUUGGCAGGGUAACGGCCUACCAAGGCAACGAUGUUUAGGGGACCUGAGAGGGUGAUCCCCCACACUGGUACUGAGACACGGACCAGACUCCUACGGGAGGCAGCAGUGAGGAAUAUUGCACAAUGGGGGAAACCCUGAUGCAGCGACGCCGCGUGGGAG
rnacentral:rRNA from 1 species